rnacentral:rRNA from 1 species
UCUGGUGAUUAUGACGUAAAGGCAACACCGUUUCCAUUCCGAACACGAAGGUUAAGCUUUACAGUGCUGAUGGUACUGCACGGGAGACUGUGUGGAAGAGUAGGUCGUCGCCAGGU